rnacentral:lncRNA from 1 species
ACCGACAGCUCAAAAGGUGUCUUGUAAACUAUCUUAUUAAUUAAGAAGUCUAUUCAAAAUAUAGAUGGUGGUCUUUAGGGCCUCAAACUAGAGAUAUCAUGAUAAAUUGCAUCCAUUCAUCAUGCUUCUAAUCAUAUUUUUUUAUUUAUGAGUGUAAUUAUAUUUUUCAGUCACACCAUUUUGCUCAAAAAUUUUAAGAAUAGUGUAUUGAGCAAUUAUCC